UACGUAGGGUCCGAGCGUUGUCCGGAAUUAUUGGGCGUAAAGGGCUCGUAGGCGGUUCGUCACGUCGGGAGUGAAAACCCGGGGCUCAACCCCGGGCCUGCAUUCGAUACGGGCAGACUAGAGUUCGGUAGGGGAGUCUGGAAUUCCUGGUGUAGCGGUGAAAUGCGCAGAUAUCAGAAGGAACAUCAGUGGCGAAGGCGGCUUCCUGGACCAAUACUGACGAUCAGGUGCGAAAGCGUGGGGAGCAAACAGG
rnacentral:rRNA from 1 species